rnacentral:rRNA from 1 species
CCUACGGGCGGCAGCAGUGGGGGAUAUUGCACAAUGGGGGAAACCCUGAUGCAGCGACGCCGCGUGAAGGAAGAAGUAUUUCGGUAUGUACACUUCUAUCAGCAGGGAAGAAAAUGACGGUACCUGACUAAGAAGCCCCGGCUAACUACGUGCCAGCAGCCGCGGUAAUACGUAGGGGGCACGCGUUAUCCGGAUUUACUGGGUGUAAAGGGGGCGGAGGCGGGUUUGCAAGUCAGAAGUGAAAGCCCGGGGCUCAACGCCGGGACUGCUGUUGAAACUGUUGAACUAGAUUGCAGGAGAGGUAGGUGGAAUUCCUGGUGUAGCGGUGAAAUGCGUAGAUAUCAGGAGGAACACCGGUGGCGAAGGCGGCUUACUGGACUGUAACUGACGUUGAGGCUCGAAAGCGUGGGGAGCAAACAGGAUUAGAUACCCGGGUAGUC